UACGUAGGUGACAAGCGUUGUCCGGAUUUACUGGGCGUAAAGAGCGCGCAGGCGGUCGAUCAAGUCGAGUGUGAAAGCCCCCGGCUCAACUGGGGAGGGUCAUUCGAUACUGAUCGACUCGAAGGCAGGAGAGGGUAGUGGAAUUCCCGGUGUAGUGGUGAAAUGCGUAGAUAUCGGGAGGAACACCAGUGGCGAAAGCGACUACCUGGCCUGUUCUUGACGCUGAGGCGCGAAAGCUAGGGGAGCAAACGGG
rnacentral:rRNA from 1 species